rnacentral:rRNA from 1 species
AAUGAACGUUGGCGGCAUGGAUUAGGCAUGCAAGUCGAGCGAGAAGGCUUAGAUUGAAGCUUCGGCCGAUUUCUAAGCUGGACAGCGGCGAAAGGGAGAGUAACGCGUGGAUCACGUACCCUGGGUCCGGAAUAGCUGCGGGAAACUGCAGGUAAUGCCGGAUGACAUCCUCGGAUCAAAGGUGAGAUUCCGCCCUAGGAGCGGUCCGCGUCCUAUUAGCUUGUUGGUGGGGUAACGGCCUACCAAGGCUUCGAUGGGUACCGGGUGUGAGAGCAUGGCCCGGCUCACUGGGACUGAGACACUGCCCAGACACCUACGGGUGGCUGCAGUCGAGAAUCUUCGGCAAUGGACGCAAGUCUGACCGAGCAAUGCCGCGUGCGGGAUGAAGGCCUUCGGUUGUAAACCGCUGUCAGUGGGGAGGAAAUUCCAUAGGGCUAUCCCUAUGGAUUGACCUAUCUUCAGAGGAA